AGGUGGAGUGGUGCCUCAAAAAUCACAGCAAAUGGAACACCUUAACAAGUUCCGACCGGUUCUUACCAGCAAGGCACGGAUACCUGGAAGACGUAGCGCUGAGAUUACGGGGUCAAAACUUGUGUUGUCCAGAAGCAAUAUGUGGAGCUCUAGGAAGGCUUAAAAUAUAGUAGCAAGGAAUAGCAAUAAUUUAAUUCAGAAAUUGCAAGAUUGAAAAGUAGUCCCAAGCUAGUCUAUGUCGCCGGCCUAAACUUAUCCAGGACCUAGUUCAAGCAAGCAACAAUACAACUCGGCGUGGAGACUCAAAGGAUGCAAGCACUUCUGAAAUUCUUUUCACUUUUUUUUGCUGCGGCUUUUACUCUCUCUUUUUUUUAUGCAGCUCGUUGCCUUUUACUUUUUUUUUGUGUGGCUCUUUCUUUUUCUUUUUACAGAAUAUGCCGCAAUGUACAAAGUACCUGAUACGCAACUAACUGAUUUGUAACCCACGGCAAAAGAAACUGAGCCCAAACCUACAACCGUCAAAAAAAAAUAAAAAUAAAGAUGUGAUCAAACUGAUGGACGUCAACAAACCAGACCUAGACUUAUCUAAACCAACGAACACAAUGACAUAACGAGGGACGACUGUUCAAUAAAGCAAACUGAAAUAAAAUUAUUGCACGGCCACAACGGGUGAUAGGACUUGGGGAAAACAAAGAUGAACACAAGUAUUUUUGUAGGGCUAUUUUUUUGGAUUUUUAGGACAAAGUGAAACACAACUAAACUAGGAUAAGGGCGAACCUGAUGGUAAACCUGAGGCUCUGAUUACCACUUGAUGUGAACUAGGGUUCCUGAUCUUCCGAAAGGUUCUGAUAACUCUCGAUUUGGUGGAGUCGCGACACAAUUCGAUCCGGCUUCCGAACAACUCGGUCCUGAAACCCCGCAAUCGCAGCACCACGUCUCCUCUGGUUAUCAACCGUUGAUGCACGGUCGACCUCGCCAAGAAGGCUGAGUCCUUUGCCUGCAAAUCGAAGAACACAAGCAAGAACAAGAAAGAAUGCAACCAAAUUGCAGAUGAAUGAUUAAUCUCACG
rnacentral:lncRNA from 1 species